UGAGUAGCUGAGAUUACAGAUUCUUCGGAGGAGGCCCCUCCAGCCACUCAGAACUUCAUCAUUCCAAAAAAGGAGAUCCACACAGUUCCAGACAUGGGCAAAUGGAAGCGUUCUCAGGCAUACGCUGACUACAUCGGAUUCAUCCUUACCCUCAACGAAGGUGUGAAGGGGAAGAAACUGACCUUCGAGUACAAAGUCUCUGAGGCCAUUGAGAAACUAGUUGCUCUUCUCAACACGCUGGACAGGUGGAUUGAUGAGACUCCUCCAGUGGACCAGCCCUCUCGGUUUGGGAAUAAGGCAUACAGGACCUGGUAUGCCAAACUUGAUGAGGAAGCAGAAAACUUGGUGGCCACAGUGGUCCCCACCCAUCUGGCAGCUGCUGUGCCUGAGGUGGCUGUUUACCUAAAGGAGUCAGUGGGGAACUCCACGCGCAUUGACUACGGCACAGGGCAUGAGGCAGCCUUUGCUGCUUUCCUCUGCUGUCUCUGCAAGAUUGGGGUGCUCCGGGUGGAUGACCAAAUAGCUAUUGUCUUCAAGGUGUUCAAUCGGUACCUUGAGGUUAUGCGGAAACUCCAGAAAACAUACAGGAUGGAGCCAGCCGGCAGCCAGGGAGUGUGGGGUCUGGAUGACUUCCAGUUUCUGCCCUUCAUCUGGGGCAGUUCACAGCUGAUAGACCACCCAUACCUGGAGCCCAGACACUUUGUGGAUGAGAAGGCCGUGAAUGAGAACCACAAGGACUACAUGUUCCUGGAAUGUAUCCUGUUUAUCACCGAGGUGAGGAGGAGGGGUGAGAGAGAAGCCCAUGGCUGCUUCCAGGCUUAGAUGAACCGAGAAUGGUGGCUUUACAGUGGAUCAGAAGAGCCAGAGCUGCUGCCCAAAAUGGCAGGGCUGGCCGGAGUGGGGUAUUGAAAAGGAAGCACCACUGGGCCUCUCCUGAGUCAGCCGCUGCUGACUGUCAGGGCCUCCGCCCAGUUCUCCUUCAGUUUCUCCUAAACACCACAGGAGUCUCGAGAUGAGGGUCUAAGACUUGGUCACUAACUGGCCUUGGUGACUGCUGCAGCAGGUCUGAAAGGGUCAGGGUGGGGGAGAUUUGUGGGGGAGGGUCGGCAUCUUUCAGUGGAGCCCCACAAGGGUCUGUAGAACCAUGUGCUUGUGGAUGUGUAAAAUGAAACCACCAGAGGAGAUGGAGUGAACUUCUGGCACAGACAGCUUUUCUGUCGAAGGGACACGUCUCUGUCAGUGCCUGAGGACAUGGGCCCGAGCAAAGUGCCAGUGUGGGAGUAUGCAGGCCUGGCCUGUUGUGGCAGUCACUGGACAGCCAGCCCCAUGGCUGGGCUCUGGAACUGAAAGUUCUUGUCUCACUAAGGCAGGAUUCCUUAUAGUGGGCCCUGGACCACUUGUGCAAGGUCUCCUAGGGUGUUUGUUAAAAUGCACAUUCCUGGGCACCCCAUCCCAACUUACUGCAUCAGAAUCUUAGGGGACGAGAGCCAGGAACCUGCAUCUAAACACACUUGCCAGGUGACUGCACAGGAAAGCUGGGGACCCUCUGCUCUCUGGACCUCUCUUCAGGGAGAUGUUAGGACUUUUCAUCCUCCCUGCCAUCCCCAUGCCCCAGUUUCCAAAGGGUGCCCUAGCUCUGCUAUCUGGAGAGGGUUUGAGAGUUCUAUCCCUCCUCAGUUCCUUUCCUUACACCAGCACGGAUGUCUGCUGCCUCAGUGAGGUCCUUAGCAGGCCUGUGGACGCUGGCCAUGGGGGCUGCUGUCCGUCCGGGCUGUGUAUUCCGAGCCCCCGAAGAGGUGGAGAAAGCUGGGUUAUAACCAGCAGCCUUGGCUCCGAGCUCUUCCUGGUCAACAUUCGGCUCAGGCUUCUGCCAAACUCCAGGGGCCAGAGGGGAAUGACACAUUUUUUCCAAGUCAGCAAAUGGAGCCGGGCCUGAUGGCUGGGCGGCCACCGCUUCGUUCCUGGAGAUCUGCUGCCCUCAGCAGUGUGGCAGGCCCAAGGUCGGGAGGACUCGGGGGCAGCCUGGCUCACUGCCUUGAAAGCCAGUCACGCGCUGCUCUCUGUGGAGUGGAAUGUGGGGGUCUGUGGAGCCCUGGGGGACCUCAGGAUAAGCUGGAGGAGCAGGGUGGGAAGAAGGGUGCAGAUUCCAUACUUGAGCUCUUGCGUGUGGCUGAAAGGCUGAGCCGUUUGGGCUCCCCCUGGCGGCUGGCCAGGCCUCUGGAUCCCUGUCUAUAUUCUAACUAGGAGGCAGGCCAGGCCUGGCCUCCAGGAUUUUGGGAAUUGAUUCCAUGGUAAAAUUUUGUGUCUUUAGUUGGUUGGCUGAUGAUGUUGGUAUAAAAACCCCAAAAGCUUUUCCAAAGUUUGGGACCCAGUUCCUCCACUAGAGGAAAUCUCAAAGUAGCCACUAGGUGGCAGGAGAGGCACAUUGAACUUGGAGAGGGUUUGGUUACAUUUAUUUGAGGCCUCAGAAGGAACAGGGAGGGGAGGGCGUGCCUAGAGUUUUUGGCUGUUCCGCACCUUCUCCACAGGGCCGGGUUUUCACUUUGGGUCUAGGCUCUUGGGCAUGGUGUUCAACAGUGGGCGCUAGGAGGAGUGUGCCCAGGAGCUGAGGUGGCUGCAGCAAGGGCCCAUCUUGCCACGUGGCUGCUGGUUGGAGCACACGUUGUGUUGGUUCUCCAGAGCGCCCACCCUCUUCCACCUCGGAGCAGUGAGCAGCAUUUUGCAGCCCCUAGUUGAUGAAGACUGGCCCAUUUGCAGAGCACUCCAACCAGCUGUGGAACAUCAGCGCUGUCCCUUCCUGGUCCAAAGUGAACCAGGGUCUCAUCCGCAUGUAUAAGGCCGAGUGCCUGGAGAAGUUCCCUGUGAUCCAGCACUUCAAGUUCGGAAGCCUGCUGCCCAUCCAUCCUGUCACGUCGGGCUAGGAGGGGCUGAGCCGAAGAGCCACCCAGGCCACAGUUCCUGUGCCUGCCUUCCCCACCCCAGCAGUGGCCCCUCCCCAUCCCCUCCCUCUGUUCAUCCCGUUUGAUGAGAGGCUGUUUACUGGGGUGGGGUGGUGAGACGGGGUUGAGGGGGCUUGGAGCAUAAGGCUUCAGGGCCCAAGUUGGGAGAAGUGACCAAAGUGUAGCCGGUCUCCUGAGCUCCCCUGUGCUGGACUGGCCAGAAGAGAGGGUUUGGGGCCCGGUCACUCCGCCACCCUCUCCUGUUCCUAGCCUCUUCUCCCUUCGCUCCUGUCCAGUCUGGUUUUGAGAGCAGGGGCUGUUCUGCAGCACUGCAGGGAGGGGAGGGGAGAUACCCUGCUGCUUCCAUUGCUUUUCCUUUCCUGGAGUCAAUGCCUUUCUAAGGGUUGGAGUUGCUCCUUGCAGGGGCAGGUCAGUUUCCCAGGCCAUGCUGGGGUGGCCAUCUAUGCUAGGGCUGGAAGCUGAUGCUGGCUGCCAGCCAUGGGCUGGGGUGGGGUGGGGUGGUGGAGAGGCCUUAGCUGUCCUGGCUGGUGCCCCUCCCAGGCUCCUUUUCACCCUGCCCCCUGGGCCUGAGGCCCUCUGUGUCCAAGCCUCCUCCUGGCUCUUCUGUUCUCUAGCCCUUGACUUUGCUGGGUUUCCUGGCUAUAGCCACAUCUCUCCCGCUCCCCAAGGGUAGCAUAGCCAAUGGAAGCUGUCCUUUGGGUAGGUGCUGGGCUCCUGGGAGGGCCCAGCUGAUAGGGUGAGGCACGUCUUUCCAGAACCUUCCCUGGCAGGGAGGAGGGUGGCAGAAACUCAGGAAGGGGCUUGGGGCCCAUUGUAUCUGGAGAGCCUGGAUUCCUUUUGGCAGUCUUAGGCCCGGCAGCUUCUGCUACCUUUGUGCUGCUGCGAGUUUCACCCUGGGACUGUGGGCCCUGCUUCUCUGUUCCCCUGGGUGGUGGGUGGGCCCAGAAGGUGGCGGUCCCACGCCUUGUCCUCCCACCUCCCUGAACUGUCCAUUGCCUUUAUAGGGUGAGGUAAGUGACUGCCUCCCAAGCCCCGGCUUUGGCUCUGAGGAUGGGCCCAGAAGGGGGCUGGGCAGGCCCAUUGAGGGCCACCAAUUGAGGUUUCUCCUAGGGCUGUUUCUGGGCCUGCCUCUUACAGGCUUGUCCCCCAGGCCUGCCCUUCUCCACUGCCCCCUCCUGUGUCUGGGUCCACACACCCUUCGGGAAGGGGGAGCACUGAGAAGCACAACACAGGGGCUCGGCCUGGAAUCCGGUGAUGGUCUGGGCAGAGGCUGGGUCAGGAGUCCCAAAGGUCAGUGACAGUUUCUCACAAGAGGCCCAGUGUCCACCUCUCUCCCAGGGCCAGACACCCCUUCCUGGCUCCCCCAUCCCCCUUUGGGCUCCCAACCCCUUGCACCCUCACUGCUGUUCGGAUUAAAGCCUCUGUUUUGCACCUGUCA